CAGGUGUCUAUUGAAGCUAAAUGGUGAAUGCCUUAGUUUCUGUGAUUGUUUGUUCUCCCUGAAUCAGCGUGUGGAUUGUGUGGGUUAUUUUAGGGGUGAGAGGAACCCAAUGUUUUUGGGGUGGUUCCUUCAUGUGUAUGUAACAUCUCAUUAAGCAGGCUGAAGUUGGAACAUCACAUAGCUACUGACUGUAAAUUUGCCUACUUUGCAAUGCCUUCUGGAUUUUUGAUUGAAGAAAUUGAACUUUGAAUCUAUACACAUUCAUGCAUCAUUUAGUUAGCUUGCAGAACUCAGCUCCAAUUAAAAUUCUGAGCUGAGAGGAAGAGAGAUCUGUGAAGACCCCUUUCCUGAAGAAAUAAUACAGGUUUAAAUGCUGUUUUGUGGAUGGGGUUUAGGACUAUUGUGUUCAGUGGGGAAAACUGGAGUUUGAUCAUCCUACUGAUGAGUAUCUUCAAUCAAAUGGUGGCAAGCACUUUCCCUGCAAGAGAGUACUUAUUGUUUAAAACAGUGCAUAAGGAAAUCCUCAUGUAAGCCUUUUUCUUUAUCUGUCUACAUAUUUUGUAUCUGGAAAUACUUGUAGAA
rnacentral:lncRNA from 1 species